rnacentral:rRNA from 1 species
CUCGGGUUACCGAAUUCAGACAAACUCCGAAUGCCAAUUAAUUUAACUUGGGAGUCAGAACAUGGGUGAUAAGGUCCGUGUUCGAAAGGGAAACAGCCCAGACCACCAGCUAAGGUCCCAAAAUAUAUGUUAAGUGGAAAAGGAUGUGGCGUUGCCCAGACAACUAGGAUGUUGGCUUAGAAGCAGCCAUCAUUUAAAGAGUGCGUAAUAGCUCACUAGUCGAGUGACACUGCGCCGAAAAUGUACCGGGGCUAAACAUAUUACCGAAGCUGUGGAUUGUCCUUUGGACAAUGGUAGGAGAGCGUUCUAAGGGCGUUGAAGCAUGAUCGUAAGGACAUGUGGAGCGCUUAGAAGUGAGAAUGCCGGUGUGAGUAGCGAAAGACGGGUGAGAAUCCCGUCCACCGAUUGACUAAGGUUUCCAGAGGAAGGCUCGUCCGCUCUGGGUUAGUCGGGUCCUAAGCUGA